CGGGAGACAUUUUUUAAGUAUACAAGCCCAGCACACUUCACCCGCUAAUAUUUCCCACAAUCCACCGGGAGCCGCGCUGAGCUGAGUGACCCGUCAGUGAGCGGCGGAGCGGCGGAGGAGAGGAGUGGAGAGAGAGAAGUUUAUGAGAUUCAACUAUCCUUCCUACUCGAGAGGAUGAAGAUGAAGAGAGGGAGAAAAAUGAACAAUGAAUAAAAAAAAUAAAUAAAGCUACUUUAAA